rnacentral:rRNA from 1 species
CCUACGGGAGGCAGCAGUGGGGAAUCUUGCGCAAUGGGCGAAAGCCUGACGCAGCGACGCCGCGUGCGGGAAGAAGGCCUUAGGGUUGUAAACCGCUUUCAGGAGGGACGAAGCCACUCGGGUGAACAGCCCAGAGGGUGACGGUACCUCCAGAAGAAGCCCCGGCUAACUACGUGC